rnacentral:rRNA from 1 species
AGCGCAGGUGGUUGUAUAAGUCUGAAGUAAAAGGCAGUGGCUCAACCAUUGUGUGCUUUGGAAACUGUACAACUUGAGUGCAGAAGGGGAGAGUGGAAUUCCAUGUGUAGCGGUGAAAUGCGUAGAUAUAUGGAGGAACACCGGUGGCGAAAGCGGCUCUCUGGUCUGUAACUGACACUGAGGCUCGAAAGGCUGGGAGCAAACA